rnacentral:rRNA from 1 species
UACGUAGGGUGCGAGCGUUAAUCGGAAUUACUGGGCGUAAAGCGUGCGCAGGCGGCGCGUUAAGACAGGUGUGAAAGCCCCCGAGCUUAACUUGGGAAUUGCGCUUGUGACUGGCGUGCUGGAGUGUGGCAGAGGGGGGUAGAAUUCCACGUGUAGCAGUGAAAUGCGUAGAGAUGUGGAGGAACACCGAUGGCGAAGGCAGCCCCCUGGGUCAAGAUUGACGCUCAUGCACGAAAGCGUGGGGAGCAAACAGG